rnacentral:rRNA from 1 species
AGUUUGAUCCUGGCUCACAAUGAACGUUGGCGGCAUGGAUUAGGCAUGCAAGUCGCGCGAUAAACGUAGCAAUACGUGGAAAGCGGCGAAAGGGAGAGGAAUACGUGGGAACCUACCUUCGGGCCUGGAAUAGCGGCGGGAAACUGCCGGUAAUGCCAGAUAACGUCCCCGGACCAAAGGUGUGAUUCCGCCUGGAGAUGGGCCCACGUCCUAUCAGCUAGUUGGUGUGGUAAUGGCGCACCAAGGCUAAAACGGGUAUGGGGUGUGAGAGCAUGCCCCCACUCACUGGGACUGAGACACUGCCCAGACACCUACGGGUGGCUGCAGUCGAGAAUCUUCGGCAAUGAGCGCAAGCUUGACCGAGCGAUGCCGCGUGCGGGAUGAAGGCCCUCGGGUUGUAAACCGCUGUCGUAGGGGAGUAACGGCCAGGGGGUUCUCCCUCUGGUUUGAACAAUCCUAGGAGGAAGGACGGGCUAAGUUCGUGCCAGCAGCCGCGGUAAGACGAACCGUCCAAACGUUAUUCGGAAUCACUGGGCUUACAGAGUUCGUAGGCGGUCCCAAAAGUUAGGUGUGAAAUCCCUCGGCUCAACCGAGGAACUGCGCUUAAAACUGUGGGACUCGAGGGAGAUAGAGGAAAGCGGAACUGAUGGUGGAGCGGUGAAAUGCGUUGAUAUCAUCAGGAACACCGGUGGCGAAGGCGGCUUUCUGGGUCUUACCUGACGCUGAGGAACGAAAGCUAGGGGAGCGAACGGGAUUAGAUACCCCGGUAGUCCUAGCCGUAAACGAUGAGCACUAGGUCGUGGGCCUCCACAGGCCCUCGGCCGUAGCGAAAGUGUUAAGUGCUCCGCCUGGGGAGUAUGGUCGCAAGGCUGAAACUCAAAGGUAUUGACGGGGGCUCACACAAGCGGUGGAGGAUGUGGCUUAAUUUCGAGGCUACGCGAAGAACCCUUAUCCUAGUCUUGACAUGCUUAGGAACCCCUCCCGAAACGGAGGGGUGCCGCAAGCAACCCUUUUGCACAGUGCCUGCCACGGCUGUCGUCAGCUCGUGUCGUGGAAAUGUUCCGUUCAAGUCGCUACCGAGCGAACCCCGUUGGUACCA